GAUGAAGAACGCAGCGAAAUGCGAUAAGUAAUGUGAAUUGCAGAAUCCAGUGAAUCAUCGAAUCUUUGAACGCACAUUGCGGCCAUAGGUAUUCCUUUGGCCAUGCCUGUUCGAGCGUCAUUUACACCCUCAAGCCUAGCUUGGUGUUGGGCGUCUGUCCCGCCGUUCUCGCGCGCGGACUCGCCUCAAAGUCAUUGGCGGCGGUCGUGCCGGCCCCCUCGCGCAGCACAUUUGCGCUUCUCGGAGGCCCGGCGGAUCCGCGCUCCAGCAAGACCUUUCACGACUUGACCUCGGAUCAGGUAGGGAUACCCGCUGAACUUAAGCAUAUCAAUAAGCGGAGGA
rnacentral:misc_RNA from 1 species